GCUGGCGGCAGGCCUAACACAUGCAAGUCGAGCGCGAACGGUCCUUCGGAACUUAUUAGAGCGGCGGACGGGUGAGUAAUGCAUAGGAAUCUGCCCAGUAGUGGGNNAUAGCCCGGGGAAACCCGGAUUAAUACCGCAUACGUCCUACGGGAGAAAGCAGGGGAUCUUCGGACCUUGCGCUAUUGGAUGAGCCUAUGUCGGAUUAGCUUGUUGGUGGGGUAACGGCCCACCAAGGCGACGAUCCGUAGCUGGUCUGAGAGGAUGAUCAGCCACACUGGGACUGAGACACGGCCCAGACUCCUACGGGAGGCAGCAGUGGGGAAUAUUGCACAAUGGGGGAAACCCUGAUGCAGCCAUGCCGCGUGUGUGAAGAAGGCCUUCGGGUUGUAAAGCACUUUCAGUAGGGAGGAAGGCCCUAAAGUUAAUACCUUUAGGGAUUGACGUUACCUACAGAAGAAGCACCGGCUAACUCCGUGCCAGCAGCCGCGGUAAUAC
rnacentral:rRNA from 1 species